rfam:Oceanobacter sp. HI0075 HI0075_c92, whole genome shotgun sequence.
GCUGAUAUAGCUCAGUCGGUAGAGCGCAUCCUUGGUAAGGAUGAGGUCGGCAGUUCGAAUCUGCCUAUCAGCA